rnacentral:rRNA from 1 species
GACGUAGGGCGCAAGCGUUGUCCGGAUUUAUUGGGCGUAAAGAGCUCGUAGGCGGCUUGUUGCGUCGUCCGUGAAAACCCGCAGCUCAACUGCGGGCUUGCGGACGAUACGGGCAGGCUGGAGUUCGGUAGGGGAGACUGGAAUUCCUGGUGUAGCGGUGAAAUGCGCAGAUAUCAGGAGGAACACCGGUGGCGAAGGCGGGUCUCUGGGCCGAUACUGACGCUGAGGUGCGAAAGCGUGGGGAGCAAACAGG